UACGGGGGGGGCAAGCGUUGUUCGGAAUUACUGGGCGUAAAGGGCUCGUAGGCGGCCAACUAAGUCCGACGUGAAAUCCCCAGGCUUAACCUGGGAACUGCGUCGGAUACUGGAUGGCUUGAAUUCGGGAGAGGGAUGCAGAAUUCCAGGUGUAGCGGUGAAAUGCGUAGAUAUCUGGAGGAAUACCGGUGGCGAAGGCGGCAUCCUGGACCGACAUUGACGCUGAUGAGCGAAAGCUAGGGGGGCAAACGGG
rnacentral:rRNA from 1 species